rfam:Oryza rufipogon genomic scaffold, chr03
UUUGAAGUGAUGAUCCUUUCCCCAAAUUAUCGACUAUGAUUGUACUGUGCGAUUUUUGCAAGCUCUUCUCUUCGGAGAAGGCUUCUAAGCCAGUAGUUCUGAUCAAA